rnacentral:rRNA from 1 species
CCUACGGGUGGCAGCAGUGAGGAAUAUUGGUCAAUGGGGGAACCCCGAUGCCGCGACGCCGCGUGGGGGAAGAAGCGCCUCGGCCCGUAAAGCCCUGGUAGCAGGGGAGAAAAAGAUGGUACCUGAAGAAGAAGCCCCGGCGAACUACGUGCCAGCAGCCGCGGUAAUACGUAGGGGGCAAGCGUUACCCGGAUUUACUGGGUGUAAAGGGGGCGCAGACGGCGAUGCAAGCCAGGAGUGAAAGCCCGGGGCCCAACCCCGGGACUGCAUUUGGAACUGUGUGGCUGGAGUGUCGGAGAGGCAGGCGGAAUUCCUAGUGUAGCGGUGAAAUGCGUAGAUAUUAGGAGGAACACCAGUGGCGAAGGCGGCCUGCUGGACGAUGACUGACGUUGAGGCUCGAAAGCGUGGGGAGCAAACAGGAUUAGAUACCCGGGUAGUC